rnacentral:rRNA from 1 species
UACGUAGGGUGCAAGCGUUAAUCGGAAUUACUGGGCGUAAAGCGUGCGCAGGCGGUUUUGUUAAGUCUGUCGUGAAAUCCCCGGGCUCAACCUGGGAAUUGCGAUGGAGACUGCAAGGCUAGAAUCUGGCAGAGGGGGGGUAGAAUUCCACGUGUAGCAGUGAAAUGCGUAGAGAUGUGGAGGAACACCGAUGGCGAAGGCAGCCCCCUGGGUCAAGAUUGACGCUCAUGCACGAAAGCGUGGGGAGCAAACGAGG